UUAACAGUGCUCCACCGGUUUUGCCCCUCUUUCUCUUCAUGUUUUUUCAGCUUUAGUGGGGUUGAAUGGUGAAUUGGCCACUUUGCCCCUCUCUCAUUUUUCUUUCCGUCCGUGCGUGCGUGUUGUGUUUUCUAGGGUUCCAGCUUUUUCCACUUUUAUCUGCUACUGCGUGUUAGUUCCACGUGUUGGUCAUCGGGAUCAUUUGGCCCUUAAUGUCAGGAUUUCUAUUUGCUUCCAGUGGCUUCCAAUCGCUUCCAAUUGCUUUCAUUUGCUUCAUCUCUCCUGGAAUGAAAAAAAAAAAACCUGCGUUCAUCCAACCUUAGAAUCCCGAAACCAAAAUUCAUCCAGAUCGUUCCAAUCUCCAACGGCAAAUCGAAAUAUCCAGUCGCUUGAUUCUCUAUCUAAAAUACGCACUCAUCGUUGCCUUAUCACAACAAUAUCGGCUAUUCGGGUUUUUUGCCCAGCGUUUUCUUUGUUUUUUCGCGCUCUACGUCUGGUUGUUAUCUCUGAUUUUGCAUUUUGGUUGCAGGAAACAUUUUUCUUCAAGUUUUAGGCUUUUAUUCUUCCUAGCUUUUUCUGGGUCAGGAAAUAUUGGUGUUUGAAGAAAUUAAGGCUUAGCAAAGUGUGACUACCUAUGCUUGAAUUAAUGUUGAAGUUUUGAGCUCAAUUAGAUUAAAGUGCAUAGAACAUCCAUAGAAGUGUUUCCACUCAGCGUGGAUAAGACAAGUAAGAAGUGAUACUCCCAUUGAAAACUUAUCUGCAAAAUAAAUUUUGCUCUGUGGUUACAUGUUGCAUUGGUGCAUAGUUUCACAACUGAACUAUAAGAAAUUGGCUAUCGUAUUUUCUAAAAUUUCAAUUGUUAAAGGAGUUGUUAAAGAAUAUGCUGACUUAGGAGAUAAAAGUUAUAAGUGUGUUCAUUGUGGUGCUUAUUUUUGGCUAAAAGAGUCUCUUAAACCAAAGUGUAAAAACGAUCUACCUGUUUUCACUCUUUGUUGCCAACAAGGAAAAAUUAAGUUUCCAAAUCCAAAACCAGCACCACCAUUUUUAGAUUACUUACUUGAUCCAACUAAAGGGCAAAAAAAUUUAUCAUUUCGACAAAAUAUUAGAACUUAUAACUCAAUGUUUGCAUUCACUUCAAUGGGAGCCAAAGUUGAUAACUCAAUUAACAAUGGAUCAAGCCCUUAUAUUUUCAAAAUCAGUGGUCAAGUUUGUCAUUUAAUGGGAUCUCUUUUGCCUGUUGAUAAUGAGUCUCCAAAAUUUGCUCAAUUGUAUGUCUAUGAUACAUAUAAUGAGGUGGAAAAUCGACUUAAAGUUUUUA